AUUGAACGCUGGCGGCAUGCUUUACACAUGCAAGUCGAACGGUAACAGGGAGCUUGCUCCGCUGACGAGUGGCGAACGGGUGAGUAAUGCAUCGGAACGUACCCAGUCGUGGGGGAUAACGUAGCGAAAGUUACGCUAAUACCGCAUACGUCCUGAGGGAGAAAGCGGGGGACCGUAAGGCCUCGCGCGAUUGGAGCGGCCGAUGUCGGAUUAGCUAGUUGGUGGGGUAAAGGCCUACCAAGGCGACGAUCCGUAGCGGGUCUGAGAGGAUGAUCCGCCACACUGGGACUGAGACACGGCCCAGACUCCUACGGGAGGCAGCAGUGGGGAAUUUUGGACAAUGGGGGCAACCCUGAUCCAGCCAUGCCGCGUGAGUGAAGAAGGCCUCGGUUGU
rnacentral:rRNA from 1 species